rnacentral:sRNA from 1 species
UUCUAGCCCUGAUUGUAGUGAAAAUCCUUUUUAUUUUUUCUUUAAAAAUAAAAAGAUUGCAACGGAAAGCAGGAAAAAGC